CAAAGGGUUUAGGUUUGGUAAGUAAAUGGAUGCUGGUUUUACUGGUUGUGGCUGCGUGCAUUUCUCGCUUUCCCCAUGCUGACUGAUAUUUGUUUGUGGCUUGAGGGACGUACUGUAUAGUAUUUGUCUCAAUUUCUGGAGUUCCAAUUGAUGUUUUUUUUAUUCAAACUGGGAAUCGCACACCCCACGCUGAUCUCUAAAAUCCUAAACUGCCGUUCUGCUCAGCCAUGCAGAACCCGAUGAGGUUUUAUUGGCAUGUCAAAUGUUCAUUUGAAAAGAAACUUUCAAUGAGUUAUAUCUUUCUGUUGCAUACAAUAUGCAGACAGUAAGUGUUAACACAGGUAGUCCUAUCAGAGUUUGAAGUCAGAUUUUUUCGGAUAUUCAUUUAAAUGUAAUUAAAGGGACAGUUCACCCAAAAACGAAAAUUCUGUCAUUGUUAACUCACCCUAUUUUCAUUUUAAACCUGCAUGACUUUUAUAGAACACAAAAGAAGAUAUUUUGAAGAAGCUUGGUAACCAAACAGCGCUGGCACCCAUUCACGUCUAUUGUAUGGACACAAAACCAUUGCUAGUGAAUGGGUGCCGGUUAACGACAUUCUUCAAAAUAUCUUCUUUUGUGUUCUGCGGAAGAAAGAAAGCCAUACAUGUUAGAAAUGACAGGAGUGUGGGCUAAAAAGACAGAAUUUUCAUUUUUGGGUGAAAUAUCCCUUUAAGCCACCAUAAAGCGAGACCUCCAUUUCUCGUGAAUUUUGGUUCUAGGCUGACUACAGCGAAGGCCUUGAAUGUUUGCAUGUCACCUGCCCGACAACAAAGCUCGCAGGGAGAGCAAGGACAGCCGGAUACCACACCAGACGGUGAAGAAGAGGACAUUUGCCAAAUCAGAACUGCGCUCGGGGAGUGAGAAACAGACCUGUUGGGAAGCAUCCUGUGGAAAUGUAACAGGUUGGAGAACUAGGCGGCCCAUCUAUGGCCAAAGGAGUGCAAAACUAUUCACAGACAGGUGCCAAAAACACCACGUUCCCACACUCACGAAUCCAUUGGCAGGCGAGGGGAAACUGCUUGUGUGCAUCUUUUAUGGUAAACCGCAAUUCCAUAUGCAGGUUUUGAACCUAGUGUGCUACGUAGUGUGAGUUUGUACACUAUAAAAUAGAACAAUAAGUAAUACAAGUUGAUCGGGCUCAACUUUUCUGAGAGAAUUUAAGUUAGAUGUUUAGCGUGAAGCUGUGGCGUGUGAGGUAUCUGAAAGAUUCAUAUUUACCUAAUGGUAAAAUAGCACAAUGAGGUCAUUUUUAUCACUACAUCUGUCUUAAACUAUCCCUUCUAAAAAAACGUAACUCAUAACUCCACGCGGACAAAUCCAUAUAAACGUAUGAGUCGCUAAGCCGUGAUUGUGGUUAGAAACCUCGCUGUGGGUUUUCGCAGAAAAGAUAAAUGCAUCGCGCUGGAGGAGAGUUCAUCUCUUAUGGUUUUACUGUAAAUGUUUACAUUCCAGCAUGCCGUGAUGUUAUCAGCUAAUCGUUUUUGGAACUGACUAAGGAGUCUUGUGGGUCGGAUUAUUGGUGGUGGUGUUGGGAACGGGGGUGGGGGGAUUUGCCUGAGGAGACAAGGUCAACGUGAAGCUGUGCUCUCUCCAAACAAAGGUAUUAACUGUGGGCCAAUUCUUUCCUUCCUCGUGCCCUUUCUAUAGCCUGGGCGAAUGCAUUAGCGCCCUUGUCCACAAACUUUAGCCUCAUGUUACGUCCUCUCACCUGUGAGCUUGAUUGUCUAUUGGGUGGGAGGUUUAGACCGGCUUGCUUAUGGAUUUGGCGAUGCAUGUCAAAAGCUUUGUAUUUCCUCACAACUCUUUAUGGUAAAUGUGAUGUUUUUUUCUGUUUAAAUAGACUGUUUCAUCAGAUGCAGGUGCCUGGUCUGAAAUUAACUUGCAUUAUAGAAAUUAAUUUUAUGUUUAAUUUAUAAUAAUAUUAUUUAUAUGAAUAUUUUGUUGUAUAUCCUUGUGGAGGUUAAGUCCGGGCCACACAACGUUUUUUUUUGUUGUUGCCACUGAAACUGUCUAUACUUAUUCCCUAAUUUAACAUGAAAAUAAAAAAGAGAUGUUGAUUUUUUUA